GGGCUCUUAGCUCAGUUGGUUAGAGUGUCUGCUUGACGUGCAGAAGGUCACAAGUUCGAAUCUUGUAGAGCCCACAA
rnacentral:tRNA from 1 species